rnacentral:rRNA from 1 species
UGCAGUCGACGGGCUCUUCGGAGCUAGUGGCGGACGGGUGAGUAACGCGUGAGGAUCUGCCCUUAGGACGGGGACAACAGCUGGAAACGGCUGCUAAUACCCGAUGUGCCGAGAGGUGAAACUAUUUGGCCUGAGGAUGAGCUCGCGUCUGAUUAGCUAGUUGGAGUGGUAACGGCACACCAAGGCGACGAUCAGUAGCUGGUCUGAGAGGAUGAUCAGCCACACUGGGACUGAGACACGGCCCAGACUCCUACGGGAGGCAGCAGUGGGGAAUUUUCCGCAAUGGGCGAAAGCCUGACGGAGCAAGACCGCGUGCGGGAGGAAGGUCUAUUGAUUGUAAACCGCUUUUGAUAGGGAAGAAGAUCUGACGGUACCUAUCGAAUCAGCAUCGGCUAACUCCGUGCCAGCAGCCGCGGUAAUACGGGGGAUGCAAGCGUUAUCCGGAAUUAUUGGGCGUAAAGCGUCCGUAGGUGGUUUUAAAAGUCUGUUGUCAAAGCGCGAGGCUUAACCUUGUACAGGCAGUGGAAACUAUAAGACUAGAGUGCGGUAGGGGUAGAGGGAAUUUCCAGUGUAGCGGUGAAAUGCGUAGAUAUUGGAAAGAACACCGGUGGCGAAGGCGCUCUACUGGGCCUGCACUGACACUGAGGGACGAAAGCUAGGGGAGCGAAAGGGAUUAGAUACCCCUGUAGUCCUAGCCGUAAACGAUGGAAACUAGGUGUUGCCCGUAUCGACCCGGGCAGUGCCGUAGCCAACGCGUUAAGUUUCCCGCCUGGGGAGUACGCUCGCAGAGUGAAACUCAAAGGAAUUGACGGGGGCCCGCACAAGCG